GAUGAACGCUGGCGGCGUGCCUAAUACAUGCAAGUCGAGCGAACAGAUAAGGAGCUUGCUCCUUUGACGUUAGCGGCGGACGGGUGAGUAACACGUGGAUAACCUACCUAUAAGACUGGGAUAACUUCGGGAAACCGGAGCUAAUACCGGAUAACAUAUUGAACCGCAUGGUUCAAUAGUGAAAGGCGGCUUUGCUGUUACUUUUAGAUGGAUCCGCGCCGUAUUAGCUAGUUGGUAAGGUAACGGCUUACCAAGGCAACGAUACGUAGCCGACCUGAGAGGGUGAUCGGCCACACUGGAACUGAGACACGGUCCAGACUCCUACGGGAGGCAGCAGUAGGGAAUCUUCCGCAAUGGGCGAAAGCCUGACGGAGCAACGCCGCGUGAGUGAUGAAGGUCUUCGGAUCGUAAAACUCUGUUAUCAGGGAAGAACAAAUGUGUAAGUAACUGUGCACAUCUUGACGGUACCUGAUCAGAAAGCCACGGCUAACUACGUG
rnacentral:rRNA from 1 species